CUCCUCUGCGCGACCGCUUCACGGUUUGCGGGAAAACGCUCCGCUAGUUUCCCUGGGAAGCGAAGGCACGACGAAGACCCAUCCGGAAAUCUUGUCAAGAUGUUUGCCACUUUGGCACAGCAAACAGCCGCUAUCAACCUCCAGAUGUGUGUGAUUCCAAAAAUUCCAACGCCCCCCUUGAGCUGCUUGGUGCAGAAAAGCUGUCCAUGCCAAUCUCUAACCUCAUUGUAGAUUCAUGAGAGUAACAAAUGUUAUUUUAAACCACUAAGCCUGAGUGGUUUCUUACAAAGCAAGAGAAUUUGUAACGAAUAAAGUGCUAAUACUUUGAAACCCCCUUGUAUGUCCCUCCCUGUUUGUAUCUUCUUACUCUUCCAGAAGUAACUAGAAUUCUAAAUUAAGUACUUAUAAUUCCCUUACUUUUUUUUUAA